GUUUUCUAUGUUCUUCCUGUUAGAAAAAGAAACUUAAGGAGAGAGAAAUAUAAAUGGAAAAAAGUACAAAUUGGAAAGAAGAAUGAAAAUAUAGGAGACAUUGGAAAAUUAUUUUAUUCUUUUCUGAAAGUAUAGACUUGGCUCAAAAAUCCAAUUUCAUUAUAAAUUCUUAAUAUCUGUUUUAUUAAUAGAUUUUUAUAUUAAAAUAUUUCAGAUCAUAGUUUAUAUAUUUAUAACUCCAGACUUUUUAUCAUCUGCAUGAUAACCAAAGCAAAGAAAAAUAAUGCAAAUACAAUAAAUAUGUCUAUGUAACCAUAUAUGAUCCUCUAAAUCUGUAUUUGUAGAUUAGUUUUCCAUGGAAACAAGACAGACAUGAUUAGAAAAUGCUGGAAUGUCUUCUGUAAAAUAGUCCUUUUUCUUUCUAUUUUAGGAGUCUAUGAAUUGGCUUCUUUUCAGAUGAAACCUGGUGGCCCAGCUCUGUGGGGUGAUGCAUUUAAAAGGGCAGUUCAUGCCCAUGUAAAUCUAGGCUAUACAAAAUUAGUUGGUGUUUUCCAUGCAGAAUAUGGAGCACUCAACACAGGUAUAGUUAUCUGUUUCAUCUAUAAAAUUUCAGUGGUGAUCUACUAAUAAGUUCCUUGGAUACGUUUCUCUCUCUCAUACUGUACAUUUUAUUUUUUAUUGCCAAAUUUUUGUAUUUUUGUCAAUUUUAAGGGUUGAAAAAAACCUGUGUCACAUCUUUUUAUUUAGAAUGUUAACAUCUUUAUGAAGCCUUUUCAAACACAAAACUGCUAUUUUCCUGAUUAUCAAAAUGAUUAAAUUUUAAUAGGUGCCAGAAUCUCAAGAAAUAACCUAUUCCUUUUAAAUAUUUUUUCUUCUGAAUUUUUUUAUUGAUUUUUGAAACAACAUUUCUGGGGAGAUUGUUUCUGAGUAAAAACAUAAUUUAUUUAUUCAUUCAUGUAUUAAUUAAUUUAUUUAUACUAAAGUCGCCCCAUAAAAAUUCACCCAUUUUUAUUUGAGGCAUGUAUUUAUAUACAUGUAUGUACAUAUCCAUUGGUAAAUUUGUAAAUAUAAAUUUCUUUAAUAAAAUACGUAUUUGGAGUAUUUAACUUUUAAAUGUAUUUUUUUGUGUGCAUAGCCCUGGUGAUUGAACUCAGGACGAUGCACAUGCUAGGCAAUGCUCUACCACUGGACUAUAUCCCCAGCCCAGAGUAUUUUAACUUUUAAAUUUGAAAGAUAUUACCAUCAGAAUUUCAAGAUUUUUUUUGACAAAUUCUGAAAAUACUUGUAAAGCUUAUCUGAAAGGACAGAUGACAAAGAAUAGCUAGUAAAUAUUUGAAAGACUGAUAAUACGCAGUUACCUUUUAUCUUCUCUAUUUUAUGUACAAUGGAAAUCUGAAACCUAAUAUAGUCAGUGCUGAGCUUCCAACUCAACACAGAAAAUUCAUCUCUUUUCUGAAAUGCAUGGACCAGAAGUAUGUCAGAUUUUUGAUUUUUGGAUUAGGGAUAUUCAGCCUGUUUAUCAUAAGAAAAUGGUCAUAAUAUACAAAAACAGAUGUAUAUUUACGUUGGAAAAUAAUGGAGGAGAAAAAUUAUUAUAAAAAUUAUCUCAUACUAUAUGCUAAAAUAAAACCAAGACUUUAAUAGAUUUCAAUGAGAAAAUUUAAUUCAUAGAGUUGCUAAAACUUUAUGUAGAUGAACUUACUUAAAAAUAUGAAUGGGGACUAUAUUCCUAAGCUAAAAAUAGAAACAAAAAUGAAGAAAAAAUUUGAUGACUUUAUUAUAAAAAGGCUCAAACUCUCUAUAUGUGGAACAAAUCAUCAUAAGUUAAAUUCAAAAGCAAAAAGGAAAUGAAAAUUUAUGUAAAGGUAGUAACACAUAUGACUGUCAAAUAUAAAAGAAGAGGCAGAUUAAAAAUAGUAAGCAGAUAUCACUUUUUACUUAAUGUAGACUUGCUUACAUGGGUAUAAUGUUAGAUCAGGAGUAAAUAAGUACUCAUAUAAUAUAUACGGUUCACAUUAAUCUUUCCUUCCCAAAUUGGGCCAUAUAAAUAAAAAAUUAUUUUCAUUGUCUUUGGCAGUAUUCUAGAAAAUAUGCAGGAGUGCAUAUAUUUAUAAGGGCUUUCAGUUAUAUACGAAAGAAAUUUGAAAGUAUGUAAAGUAGUCAUAUUUGAGUGAUGAGAUUAAAGAUUACUGAAAGUCUGUCUUUUAAUCUCUGAUAUUGUGUAUGUAUGAUUUUUAUAACUUUUUUAUUCUUAAAUUCAUUUUCAGUAUCCUAAGAAAAUGUGGCAUGAUGAGUAUAAAUCAGUACAGCUUCUUUUUAUAUUUAUCUUCCAUUUUAGGAAGAUAGUGUAUAAUACAUACAAUAUAUAGACAGUAUAAUAUAUACACUAUUUGAAAAUUUAAAAUAUAUAUGUAUAUAAGAUAUACUCCUUGGAUCUCUCACUUUACAUUUUAGGAGAUUUUGUUAAGGAAAUAAACAGAUACAAACAGCCUGGAUUUAAUCCCAGCACCAUUGCUUAGUAAUUUUAUGACCUUGGGUAAGUUAACCUCACUGGGCCUUAGUUUCCUCAUCUAUACAAUGAUGAUAGUAAUAACCUACCAUCUAGAUUAUUAUGAGGACUAAAUGAGUUAACACAUGAAAAAUGUUUAAAAUCAAGCAAGGUAUUACACAUGUGAAAUCCUAGCUAUCAGGAGACUGAGGCAGGAGGAUUACAACUUCAAGGCCAGUCUGGGCAACUUAGCAAGAUUCUAUCUAAAAAUAAAAAUAAAAAGCACUACAAAUAUAAUUCAGUGGUAGAACACAUGCUUAGCAUGCCCAAGGCCUGACAGGUUCCAUCACUAGAGACAAACACAUUCCAGGCAAUUAAAUGUUAGCAAUAGUAGUCACCAUCAUCAUUAUUAUAGAUACAUACAUAGGUGUGUUCAAAUGAAAUUUAUGUAAAUAUUGUUUAUAUAAUAAAUAAUGUGGUAUGACCUUCUUUAUGUAAUAUAUUUUGUGAUAUAGAAAUAUGCUAUAUAUAUUUGUAGUAUAAAAUGUAUGCAUAGAUAUAAAUAUAUGUAUAGAUAUGUCUGUAAAUAUUCAUAUAUUUCAUAUACAUAACAACGUAUAUAUAAUAUGUAUUAGUAUGGAAAGACAUAAACCAAAUAUAAAACUAGUUAUUUCUGGGAAGUCCAGAAAUGAUUCCUAGCUUCUCUUUGUGUUUAUCUGUAUUUUUCUAUACCUCUACUUUGUAUUACAUUGCAAUUAUAAAAAAAUGUAUAAAUAAUUAUAUACAAGAAUAUUUAUUCCAGAAUUUUAUAGAAUAGUGAAAUAUUGGAAAUAAUCUAAAUGGCCAACAAUAAAGAUUAGUAUAAAAAGUUGCUGUGUAUUAUGAAGGAAUCCAUAUCAUCAUUAAAAAAUAAUAUUAUUGCCACAGAAGAUAAUCACUGUUAAUUUUAAAGAAUCUAUUAGUAAGCAUAAUAUACAAUAGACCCUAAGUUAACUUUUAAAGGAAAUGCCCUAGGGGUUUUCUCUAGGUAGUUAACAUUAUGCUAUUUUUUGUUUUCCUGUUUGUUUCAUAUAAAUUUUCUAUAAUAAACACAAUUUUUAUAACCUUGGUUUUUUGCAAUAAAGUCAACUGUAGUGGGAAGUCAUGAAAUUUGAGUGUGUCUUUAACUGUCUUACCUUACUUUCCUUUUCCAGCUUUCUGUUUUUACACCUAAAAAAAGAGAGAGAGAGAGAGUUUGAUUAAUUCAUGUAUAAAUUUCUUUCUCAAGUCUCUGAUUCCUCUGAAAUCUUAUCAUCUAAAUAUUUAUUUACUGACAUUUUAAUUUAAAAUAAUAGGAUUUUUUUACUCACUCUCACUUUAAGAAUUAUUCUUUUGCCCAUGGCAAUGUCAAUGUCAUACUCUUUAGAAACAAUUUUGGUUUAUUUCUGCAGUUCAUGUUCUUUGGUGGAAUGAGAGUGCAGAUAGUCGUGCAGCUGGGAGGCAUCAUUCCCAUGAGGAUCCCAGAGUCGUGGCAGCUGGUAAGCUAUUUCACUAGGCAUGGGUUAUUUUUACAAUAAACUUGAUUUGCUCAAUAACUUUAUAUGCCUUCUUAUGAAAUGUUUUUCCAGUUCGGGAAAGUGUCAACUACCUAGUGUCUCAGCAGAAUAUGCUUCUGAUUCCUGCAUCAUUUUCACCAUUGAAAUAGUGUUCUACUGAAACACAAAAGAUUUCAUUAAUUGGUAUAAAAUGUGUCUGCUAAUGGUGUUUAAGUUCUCCCAAGAGAAUUAUUCUCACUUUUAUUUUAAGGAGGUGAUAAAUUAAUUUACUAUGUCCCUUGCAUUUUAUAAAGCUCUCCCUUGUUUGUCACCACCACUUUAGGAAGUAAAAAGUUCAUUUUUCCCAAGGCAUUUCAAUAUCUAUCACACAUUAAAAAUAUCUACCAUUUGGAAAAUAAUGUUAUUCAGUCCUGAGAUUAAAAAUCUUUGAGGACUCUUUGGUUUACAUGCUGAAAUGCCUUCAUUUAUAAUUAAUUGUACUAAUAUUUACUUCAUUUUGCAUUCUACUUAACAAAGAUACUUGCCACUAUUUCAAGAUCUUGAUUUUUCAUUCAUUUCAGAGGAUGUCUUCUGUAUGUUGACAAACCUUUAUUCAAAUACUAAUGUUAUAUUUCCAUGAUUGAAACAAUAGUUUUAAAUUAUUAAUAUACAUUGUCAAACUUUUAAUCGUGUCUGUUUUCCUGAUUUUCCAAAUUUUUGUCAAGUAAAGUUUAUUUUGUAAUAUCAAAUGGUAUUCAUGAGAAUAUUAAACAUAUUUAUUUGCCAUGGAAAAGUACAUUAUCAUUUGUGUCAUCUGUGUUAAUUAUGGUCACACAUUAGCUCUAUUGUCACUGAACUGGAAAAUAAAAUUAUUAGGUCCUGGUAUUUAAAGUCUUUGAAGACUCUUUGGUUUGUAUGCUGAAAUGUCUUCAUUUAUAAUUAAUUUUACAAAUAUUUACUUUAUUUUGGAUCCUACUUAACAUAAGAUGCUUGAGAUAUCUUUGUUUGAAUGUGAUCUUCAUGGAUAUGGAAAUGUUUGACCUAAUAAAAGCCUACCUGUAUAUUCUGAUUA
rnacentral:lncRNA from 1 species